AGAAGGUGGGGUGGAAAGGAGGCUGCUCCAACGAGGUGGGAUGACAGGCUUCUGGGAGGCUGAAGCUGCACCCGCGGAAGGGAUCCAGGAGGUGGUGGAGGCCAUACCGUGGGUGGAGGGACAACGCAAUGGAAGGGCCAGGUAGAGGCCCUGGAGGUUGGAGUAAUAGAAAAGGGAGGUGUUCUGGGGAGGGGGAGUGUGAUAGCUCGGAUGGUUGGGGGGUUGUUAUAUUCCCAGUGGAUGCUGGACCUUAUGAAGCAAAGGCCAGUCUCCCUUAGGGAUGGCGAUAGAUAAGGAAGGCGCUCAACACAUAUUUCUCACAAAUAGCCAAAAUUUGCUAAUCAGUACCAUACCAGGAAUCAAAAGAGCUAACACAACCUCCACCCAAUCCAGCUAGGGAAAUGAGUGAGGCAGUUUUUAUUAGAUGAUGUUAAUCCUUCAUGCAUGCAAAAAGGGAUAUAGGGAAGUUUACAAGAACUGACAUAAUGUAAUAAUUUUCUCUUUUUAAAAUAAGAGCAGGGAACAGAAGUUGAAGACCAGUCAGCACCAAAAAGGCUGUACAAGGUGCUCUUGCCACAUGUGGGUCACCAAUGUGUGACCAGCAGAAAGAGGAAAUAUCAGUUAUGAUUCACAGUGUUCUUGUCCCACGAGGAAUCAUAAUUAUUACUAUUACUGACAGGUUUCUCCUGUAGAACCUCACUUCCUCAAAGGCAGUCUGUCACCAGUAUCCUGGACACUUUUGAAGUACAGCAAAGAUCUUGAGUUGUUUGCUAUCUUGGCCCUAAGAAGGUGGCAUAAUGCAGUGAAAACAAUUAGGUCCACCCACUCCUAAAUCUUUACUUAACUAAGGGUGGGUUUUUAAAGUACCCUGACCAUUUGUCCAUCUACUUUAACACAGCAGUGUAGAAUACCCACUCUCAGAACCCCAGACUUCUGGUCACAGGAUGUAGUAGUUCUCUCCAUUGCACAUAGCAAUAAUAGGUUUAAAAACAGAGUCUAGAAAGAAAUAACUGGGCUUAAAAACAAAAUAAGCAUUGCUGUGGACCAGAAAUAGAAGUCACAGUGAUGAGCAGAGGACUGAAGUAUAUCCUGCACCUCCCUAUGGGACAUCACUGGAGAAGGAAAUGAAUGAGUCCCUCAAGGAGGGACUCAGCCCCUUCAUGAUAACUCAGGCUGUAGGUCAGAAAUUAGUGAUUAAAAGGGGUUUACCAGACUUAUAAAUCCUAAAUGUUUCACUUUCAGAAGCUUCCUUAAAGUUUGCUGGAUUACAGUGGGAAAGAGGCACCUCCUCACCCUCCUAGAGAUGGAUAGGUCAUCUACUCCUCCUGAAUGUCACCAACAUCCCCAGUCUUUCCAAGUACUUUAAGGGUCUUGCAACCUCAGCUUCCCACAGACUUAUGGAAGCUACCCAGCUCUACCUGCAGAUGUUUCAAGAUGUCAUGGUCUCAGAACAUGGGAAAAUAACAUUUUGGAGUCAAUCCUAUAUAUCAAUUCCAGGUUAUAAGGAAUGGGGACCAUCAUGGUUCAACGUGAUUAAGAAGUGGGUGAGCCCCCUUUCUAACAUGUGAUUUGAAGAACACUAAUUUUUUUCUUCUUCUUUAUUUAUUUAUUUAUUUAUUUUAUUAGGAAUAGCACCUGGGUCACUUUACCACUGAAAAACACCCCCCAGCCCUUUAUAUUUUUUGAGAUGAACUUGCUAAGUUGCUGAGGCAGACCUCAAACUUGACAUCCUUCUGCCUCAGUCUCCCAAGUUGCCGGGAUUCCAGGCAUGCACCACUGUACAAGGCUUGAAGAGCACUGAUAUUACUCACUCCUAGGGAAGCAAUAGAGGAAGGAAGAUACAGCAGGACAGUAAGAGAGGGUAAACCAUCACACAGCAAGCUCCUCUGUUUAGGAUCCCUACCUACAAUGACUUUGGUUGAUGUUUCAGAGGGUCAAGAUACAGUUUAGCUUCAUCAUCUUCAAAGGAGAAGGGAAAGGUGUAAAACUAAGACCUGGAGUGGAUGUACCUGAUCCUCAUCCUACAGGCCCUUGGGACCCAAAGUGCAGCCCUUAGACCAGCACCACCUGGGAGCUCACUAGAAAUGCAGAAUCCUAGGCCUUAUCAAACCCAAAAUCAACAUCUGCAUUUUAACAAAAUCCCCAGGUGACACAAACACAGUAAGUUGAGAAGCAUUGUUAAAGUCCACCUCCAUUAUACCCUAUCUAGACAUUUCCAAACUGUUGUAAAAGAGAAGACUACAGACUCGGAGUUUAAAAGCAAGCUUUUGUGGUUUGUCAGAAUACAAAAGUCAUGGAAGCACACCUCAGUAACCCACCAGAAUGACUGGCUUUCCUGGGAAGAGCUAGUUGGCCCUCAGGAAGGCAUGCCCUGGAAAUAAUGAUCCAGUAUAAGGCAAAGUGCCAGCCAAAAGGAUGUCACCACCAGAGGGAGCUGUCCAGCUGCCCCCACCUGCCCCCCCCCCCAAGGAGAUGCCAGUUCCUCCCCAGGAGACAUUAAUCAGUACCCAUCUGAGCUUGGAAAGUACUCAGCACUCUCAACAAAUGGCCAGAGUUGAGAAAUUAAAAUCCCAGUCCAGUAGGAAGUGCUAGGUAGUUGCUGAAAUUUCAAUAUCUGUAACUGAAUAUUUCAUUCUUAGCAGUUACAGUCUAGAUAAAAGAAUCCAUUGCUUCCAUCACCAUGAUGGAGUGCUCAAACAGCUUAAAAUGAUAUUCAGAGAUCACAGGGGAUCAGAAUAACCAUCUGUUUGAAAAAGCAUCCUCCAAAACAAAAUAAUUUAACUAAGUAAGUAAACUGAAAUCAUGAGGCUUUUGUUAGCCAAAAAAAAAAAAGCUAUACAACAUGAAGAGUUUUUCUUUGAAAUUUUUUCCAAAUAGGAAAAUUUUUUAUUAAAUGCCCCUUAAACUUCCAUAAAUGAUCCCUUAUAAUUAUAUAAUGAAGCUAAGAAAUGUAUUGAUUAAUUGUAUUUUGUAACAUUUUGGCUACUUUUCUAAUGUUGUUUAUUGCUCUUAGAAGUUUGAUAUUUAUCCAAGCAAAGAACUCUUGAGUUCUAUGCUAGAGUUGUCUCUAGGUAACAUGAUGAUAAUAGUAAAGAGAAAGUAAGAUGUGAAUUAAAAAGAUGAUUUCACCCCAUUUUGUAUAACUAUAAUGCACUGAUGAGAACAUUAAAAAUAAAAAGAUGCUUUCACAUAAAACCUUAAGAUCCUACCUUUAGUAUGCUAUUCUUUCUUAAUCAUAGAGAAAUCCAAAAUAGUGAUUACCUCCUUGAUUUACCUUUAAUUAAAGAAAAGACAUCUCCUGGUGCAACCUCAAGGUAUUGCUAACUGGGAGAAUCAUUUGAAUUUAUUCAUUCUAAGUCUUGAUAGAACAAUAUGUAACAUGAUAUUUAAUUGAUAAGGGAAUGUCACAUGUUUUUAAAAGAUGAUCUUAUAGGAUCUUAAGUGUUACAGUAUGUGUAACAUUUGUUCAGAAAAAAAUUAAGUAAAAUUUAAAAGUUUUAAGACCAAAACAGGAUUGAGUAAAAGCAUAUUUACCAGUAGUGUAAAGAUAUAAGAAAUUAAAUGGUAGGAGGCGGAAUUGGCGUGUUUGGAUAAAGAUCACACAUACGUGAAUCUUAUAAUAACUAUGUUAAGUGAAAAUAGAUGAACCGGAUGGUGUUAAGAUGAAACUUAGGAUACUGUAGACAGAGCUGAUUGAUUUCAAAGUGAAGUGAUGAGACAGAUGAUCCAGUAUGGGGAGGGGGUGAAGAGUAGGGACUGGUUAUUAAAUUCUACCACUUCUAAGGACUUAAAGCUACCAGCUAUUAGAAUUCCAGGAUCCUCGAGAUAAAAGCAAAAUGGAACAGUAGAACCAGGCUGUCCAUCACCUGAAUAUUUGAAAAGCCACACUGAACAAGAGAUGAAUUACUAUGUUCCUCACUGAGAUAUUUUCUGUGUGCCAAAGAAGCUAGGCAAAAAAUAUUGAUCCCACCAGAUGCAGUGGCACACGCCUGUAAUCCCAGUGGCGUGGGAGGCUGAGACAGGAGGAUCGCAAGUUCAAAGUCAGCCUCAGCAACUGUGAGGCACUAAGCAACUCAGUGAGACCCUGUCUUUAAAUAAAAUACAAAAUAGGGCUGGGGAUGUGGCUGUGUAGCCAAGUGCCCCUGAGUUCAAUCCCUGGUACAAAAAAAAAAAAAAGCCAGUUUAGCAAGACCCUAAGCAACUUAGUGAGACCCUGUCUCAAAAAGGACUGGAGAUGUGACUUAGUGGUAAAGUACUCCUGGGUUCAAUCCCUAGUAUCAAAUAAGUAAACAAUUCUCUUUUCUAGCUCUGUCCAUUGAGAUGGCCUCAGAGCAACAUUACUCCAAAGUGCACCCUGGUGCUCAGAUCCUGCAAUAUCUCUAGUUUUUCCCAUUAAAAGGAACUAGAGGGGCUGGAGUUGUGACUGAGGGGUAGAGUGCUGGCCUAGCAUGUGUGAGGCACUGGGUUCGAUCCUCAACACCACAUAAAAAUAAAAUAAAGCUAUUGUGUCC
rnacentral:lncRNA from 1 species